rnacentral:misc_RNA from 1 species
GAUGAAGAACGCAGCGAAAUGCGAUACGUAAUGUGAAUUGCAGAUCUCUCAGUGAACCAUCGAAUCUUUGAACGCACAUUGCGCCCCCUGGCAUUCCGGGGGGCAUGCCUGUCCGAGCGUCAUUUCUGCCCUCCAGCCCGGCUGGGUGUUGGGCGCUGUCCCCCCGGGGACACGCCCCAAAGGCAGUGGCGGCGCCGCGUCGGGUCCUCGAGCGUAUGGGGCUUUGUCACCCGCUCGGGACGGACUCGUCGGCGCUGGUCUUCCUCCAGGCGACCCUUCGGGGCUCGUCUUCCUUCGGUUGACCUCGGAUCAGGUAGGGUUACCCGCUGAACUUAAGCAUAUCAAUAAGCGGAGGA